rnacentral:rRNA from 1 species
CUGGCUCAGAUUGAACGCUGGCGGCAGGCUUAACACAUGCAAGUCGAGCGGGGGAAGGUAGCUUGCUACUGGACCUAGCGGCGGACGGGUGAGUAAUGCUUAGGAAUCUGCCUAUUAGUGGGGGACAACAUCUCGAAAGGGAUGCUAAUACCGCAUACGUCCUACGGGAGAAAGCAGGGGAUCUUCGGACCUUGCGCUAAUAGAUGAGCCUAAGUCGGAUUAGCUAGUUGGUGGGGUAAAGGCCUACCAAGGCGACGAUCUGUAGCGGGUCUGAGAGGAUGAUCCGCCACACUGGGACUGAGACACGGCCCAGACUCCUACGGGAGGCAGCAGUGGGGAAUAUUGGACAAUGGGGGGAACCCUGAUCCAGCCAUGCCGCGUGUGUGAAGAAGGCCUUAUGGUUGUAAAGCACUUUAAGCGAGGAGGAGGCUACUUUAGUUAAUACCUAGAGAUAGUGGACGUUACUCGCAGAAUAAGCACCGGCUAACUCUGUGCCAGCAGCCGCGGUAAUACAGAGGGUGCGAGCGUUAAUCGGAUUUACUGGGCGUAAAGCGUGCGUAGGCGGCUUAUUAAGUCGGAUGUGAAAUCCCCGAGCUUAACUUGGGAAUUGCAUUCGAUACUGGUGAGCUAGAGUAUGGGAGAGGAUGGUAGAAUUCCAGGUGUAGCGGUGAAAUGCGUAGAGAUCUGGAGGAAUACCGAUGGCGAAGGCAGCCAUCUGGCCUAAUACUGACGCUGAGGUACGAAAGCAUGGGGAGCAAACAGGAUUAGAUACCCUGGUAGUCCAUGCCGUAAACGAUGUCUACUAGCCGUUGGGGCCUUUGAGGCUUUAGUGGCGCAGCUAACGCGAUAAGUAGACCGCCUGGGGAGUACGGUCGCAAGACUAAAACUCAAAUGAAUUGACGGGGGCCCGCACAAGCGGUGGAGCAUGUGGUUUAAUUCGAUGCAACGCGAAGAACCUUACCUGGCCUUGACAUACUAGAAACUAACCAGAGAUGGAUUGGUGCCUUCGGGAAUCUAGAUACAGGUGCUGCAUGGC